CCCCCCCCCCCAUAAGAGGUCCAGCCUGCCCAGUGACUUGUUCAACGGCCGCGGUAUCCUAACCGUGCGAAGGUAGCGCAAUCACUUGUUCCCUAAUUGUGGACUAGUAUGAAUGGCACCACGAGGGUUAUACUGUCUCCUCUUUCUAAUCAGUGAAACUAAUCUCCCCGUGAAGAAGCGGGGAUAAUAUUAUAAGACGAGAAGACCCUAUGGAGCUUAAAACAUAUAGCACCUGCUUUUUUUCCCCGUGCUUCCGAGCCCUUUAUUUUACGAGUAGGAUGACUAUCAGUUUUUGGUUGGGGUGACCGCGGAGCAUAAAAUAACCUCCAUGCUGAAAGAAUACAGUUCUAAGCUAAGACCUACAUUUCUAGGCAUCAGCAUACUGACACUAAUUGAUCCAAUACAAUUGAACAACGAACUAAGUUACCCUAGGGAUAACAGCGCAAUCUACUUCAAGAGCUCCUAUCGACAAGUGGGUUUACGACCUCGAUGUUGGAUCAGGGUAUCCCAAUGGUGCAGCCGCUAUAAA
rnacentral:rRNA from 1 species